GGGCGGUUAGCUCAGUGGUUAGAGCGCUGCGUUGACAUCGCAGAGGUCACUGGUUCAAGUCCAGUACCGCCCA
rnacentral:tRNA from 2 species